UGCCAAUUCCUGGGUCCCAGUCAUGUC
rnacentral:piRNA from 1 species